UGUGUGUUAGUGGAAGCGUCUGGAAAGGCGCGCGAUACAGGGUGACAGCCCCGUACACAAAAAUGCACAUGCUGUGAGCUCGAUGAGUAGGGCGGGACACGUGGUAUCCUGUCUGAAUAUGGGGGGACCAUCCUCCAAGGCUAAAUACUCCUGACUGACCGAUAGUGAACCAGUACCGUGAGGGAAAGGCGAAAAGAACCCCGGCGAGGGGAGUGAAAAAGAACCUGAAACCGUGUACGUACAAGCAGUGGGAGCACGCUUAGGCGUGUGACUGCGUACCUUUUGUAUAAUGGGUCAGCGACUUAUAUUCUGUAGCAAGGUUAACCGAAUAGGGGAGCCGAAGGGAAACCGAGUCUUAACUGGGCGUUAAGUUGCAGGGUAUAGACCCGAAACCCGGUGAUCUAGCCAUGGGCAGGUUGAAGGUUGGGUAACACUAACUGGAGGACCGAACCGACUAAUGUUGAAAAAU
rnacentral:rRNA from 1 species